rnacentral:rRNA from 1 species
GGGCUACCCGCUGAGUUUUAAGCAUAUCAAUAAGCGGAGGA